GCAUUAAUGGGGUAGUGGUAACCUGGGUCGUUGCCACUUCAUGAGUCAUGUGAUCUCACAGUCACUACUCUAGUAACUUCGACCCGCCCUGGGUUCGAUUCCCAGUUAAUGCA